GUGAGUAUUAGUAUUUAUACGUGAGUGAACGCAUCUGUUAAUUAGUGUUAUGUACGUGAGUGAAUUAGUAGUAAAUGUAUUUUAGUGUAUAAUAAUUACCUCCAUGCUGAUUUUACUGUGUUUAGGGUAUAUGGUAUAGUUUUAGGGUUUGGGAUUGAAUGAAGGAAUACUGAUAUACCUUGGAUUUGACCCGUUUUCAUCCAUGGUAUAUAGGUUUUUACUAUAUAUAUAUCUAUGUUUUCUAAUCUUCUAGGUAUGUUUUCAGGUUCAGGUGCAUUUCGGAGUAAAGCUACGACUUUGGAGCAUUUUGGAGCUUAAAGGACAUUUCAUCCGAGCUGACCAUGUAGAGGUCGACGAGAGGCAGACCAAUCGAUCGAUGCACAUCCAGUGCUCUCGAUCAACACCAUGAGA
rnacentral:lncRNA from 1 species